AACGAACGCUGGCGGCAUGCCUAACACAUGCAAGUCGAACGAGACCUUCGGGUCUAGUGGCGCACGGGUGCGUAACGCGUGGGAACCUGCCCUUAGGUUCGGAAUAACUCCCCGAAAGGGGUGCUAAUACCGGAUAAUGUCUUCGGACCAAAGAUUUAUCGCCUUUGGAUGGGCCCGCGUUGGAUUAGCUAGUUGGUAGGGUAAAAGCCUACCAAGGCGACGAUCCAUAGCUGGUCUGAGAGGAUGAUCAGCCACACUGGGACUGAGACACGGCCCAGACUCCUACGGGAGGCAGCAGUGGGGAAUAUUAGACAAUGGGCGAAAGCCUGAUCCAGCAAUGCCGCGUGAGUGAUGAAGGCCUUAGGGUUGUAAAGCUCUUUUACCCGGGAUGAUAAUGACAGUACCGGGAGAAUAAGCUCCGGCUAACUACGUG
rnacentral:rRNA from 1 species